rnacentral:rRNA from 1 species
CCUACGGGCGGCAGCAGUGGGGAAUAUUGGACAAUGGGCGAAAGCCUGAUCCAGCCAUGCCGCGUGUGUGAAGAAGGCCUUCGGGUUGUAAAGCACUUUCAGUGGGGAAGAAAGCCUUGGGGCUAAUACCCUCGAGGAAGGACAUCACCCACAGAAGAAGCACCGGCUAACUCCGUGCCAGCAGCCGCGGUAAUACGGAGGGUGCGAGCGUUAAUCGGAAUUACUGGGCGUAAAGCGCGCGUAGGCGGUCUGAUAAGCCGGUUGUGAAAGCCCCGGGCUCAACCUGGGAACGGCAUCCGGAACUGUCAGGCUAGAGUGCAGGAGAGGAAGGUAGAAUUCCCGGUGUAGCGGUGAAAUGCGUAGAGAUCGGGAGGAAUACCAGUGGCGAAGGCGGCCUUCUGGACUGACACUGACGCUGAGGUGCGAAAGCGUGGGUAGCAAACAGGAUUACAUACCCCGGUAGUC